rnacentral:rRNA from 1 species
GACGAACCGUGCGAACGUUGUUCGGAAUCACUGGGCUUAAAGGGCGCGUAGGCGGCCGGGUUGGUCGUGGGUGAAAUCCCCCAGCUCAACUGGGGAAUUGCCUACGAUACUGCCUGGCUCGAGGGAGGAAGGGGCGGCCGGAACUGUCGGUGGAGCGGUGAAAUGCGUUGAGAUCGACAGGAACGCCGGUGGCGAAAGCGGUGUGCUGGAUCCUUUCUGACGCUGAUGCGCGAAAGCCAGGGGAGCAAACGGG